UACGGGGUGUGCAAGCGUUGUCCGGAUUUAUUGGGCGUAAAGAGCUCGUAGGCGGUUUGUCGCGUCUGCUGUGAAAACUGGAGGCUCAACCUCCAGCCUGCAGUGGGUACGGGCAGACUAGAGUGCGGUAGGGGAGAUUGGAAUUCCUGGUGUAGCGGUGGAAUGCGCAGAUAUCAGGAGGAACACCAAUGGCGAAGGCAGAUCUCUGGGCCGUAACUGACGCUGAGGAGCGAAAGCAUGGGGAGCGAACAGG
rnacentral:rRNA from 1 species